UGCGAAAUAAAAUAGUUAAAUAAAACUGAUUAAAUCUGAAUACAAGUGAAUUCAGCUGAAAUAUACAUUCGAAUAAAACCGAAUACAAAUAGGCCAUUUCGAUAAUCUAAACAGAGAAACAGCCCUAUGGCUUCGGCGGUAGGCGGCCAACCAUUGAUUCUGGCUGGUUAGCCCCUAACACAUCUGCCCAAACUCUUCUAGAGAGAGAAACUGCCGAGAACGGAUUCCUUAGACUUCUUCCGCCGUGAUUUUUUAGGAAUGUCCGGGAGUUCUCUCGCCGGAGAUUCAGAGCCGGUGGCUGAAUCUAACUGAUUUUGUCGGCCGUGUUUGGAACCGUCAGUAGAUUCUUUCAUUUUGGUGUCGCCGGGACUUGGAAGACUCUCAGUUUAGAUAAUAUGCCAAUCAUAGUGUUGAUUGAAACAAACCUUGUCCUUUAACUUUGUUCUACUCGACUCCAACUUCUAGGCUUAGGAAUCUUACAAGGUCCUACAGUUGCCUGAACCAAGUAGAAAAUAAAAACGAAAAACCUUACACAGAGAGCCAGAGCUUACACAAAUCCAAGAAUAAGUAUACAAUGUAUAAACAAUACAACGAAAAACCACAUACAACACGCCUUUAAUUUUAUUGUCAAUGCCAAUAAUUCGAUAUGAUUCCAACAUGAACCCACUAGAUCUACGAGAAUUUGAACCAAAAUAGUUUGCAAAACAGGCUUUCCAGAGAAUCAGUGCCACCAUUUUCUUUAGAAGAAUGAUGCCGUGACGACUUUGGUGGUUGUUCUGAUAAAUUGAGAUUUUGGAUGGGAGAAGAGUUAAGAAACAGAGGGUAGAAG
rnacentral:lncRNA from 1 species